rnacentral:rRNA from 1 species
AUUGAACGCUGGCGGCAUGCCUUACACAUGCAAGUCGAACGGUAACGGGCCUUCGGGUGCCGACGAGUGGCGAACGGGUGAGUAAUACAUCGGAACGUGCCCGAUCGUGGGGGAUAACGAGGCGAAAGCUUUGCUAAUACCGCAUACGAUCUACGGAUGAAAGCAGGGGACCGCAAGGCCUCGCGCGGACGGAGCGGCCGAUGUCAGAUUAGGUAGUUGGUGGGGUAAAAGCUUACCAAGCCGACGAUCUGUAGCUGGUCUGAGAGGAUGAUCAGCCACACUGGGACUGAGACACGGCCCAGACUCCUACGGGAGGCAGCAGUGGGGAAUUUUGGACAAUGGGCGCAAGCCUGAUCCAGCCAUGCCGCGUGCAGGAUGAAGGCCUUCGGGUUGUAAACUGCUUUUGUACGGAACGAAAAGCCUUCUUUUAAUACAGGAGGGUCAUGACGGUACCGUAAGAAUAAGCACCGGCUAACUACGUG